UUGGCCUCACAAAGUGUUAGGAUUACAGGUGUGAGCCACCGCACCUGGCCUAAGAUUUUUUUUUUAAGCAUGAUCACGAUCAUAAAAUUCUUUUUGCACCUAGUUGUUCCAUUUGUUUUUCAUAAUUAUCAAAUAAUUAUGGCAUAUAAGACUUGAAAACAUUGAAGAUGGAUUUGAUAAUCCAAUUCUCAGGAGGUCUAGUUCUGGCCAUCUUCCUAAUUUUUGAAAACCAUGAAAGGACCAUUUCCCUGGGUGUUUUUGCUUACUCCAGAUGUGAAAUCCAGCUGACCAUUCUUUAAGAUUUUCUCAGUUUCAGCACUUUGCCACUCCCAGAUUUUCAAAAGAGUUUAAGUAUGACAGAUUCUCUGUAUUAACAAUGUAAUAUUUUUAUGAGCUAUAAGGAUCACAAAUUAGAAGCAAAUUUGGACGCUUAUUUUCUAAUACUUUGGUGAGAUGUAUGCAUCUUGCAAAAUAUUCAUCUGUUAUAGAAAGGCAUCAGGAUUCCUGAAGUAUUUUGCUGAAAAUGUCAGAAUGCGUUCAACUUCAUUAGGUUUUUUUAUUGCUUUAAUCUAAAUAUUUUGGAUCCUUUGUUGUACUCAAGUUGAGUUCCUUGAAAAUACAUGCAUAUUUUACAGUUAUAAUAUGAGAUAUAACCUGGUGGGACCUCCCCCCAUUUCUGGAACUCUAGGUCAACUGUUAUCCCAUGACCAAAAUCCAAAGGAAUGGUCCUCAUAUGUUAUUGGUAUAUUCUGUAUUGACAUGAAAUAAUAAACACCAUAGUACUAACACAGCAGUACCUUUUGUUUGGGGACUAUUUGAUUAGAAUUAUGUGUUUCUCAUAAGUUCUUUAAAAAUGGUCUUGGUGACCUGCCACUUGCCUGAUGGGAAUAUCCCAACUUUCCUGGAGCUACAGAAAAAAAAACACCCCACACAUUGGCAAACACCAACCCAAAGUUCAAGUCUUUUUAUAGUAACAUAGAAGCAGACAUAUGAAAUUAUUAUGCCACAUUUCUGCCAGAUUUUGACGUUUAAAAUAGUCUCUGUUAUAAAGCCACCAAGCCCUGCAGCUGGCGAGAGUUUCUGCAAUAACAGUCUAUACAUGUUCACUAAGGCAGCUGCCAACCCUCGUGGCAGGUAGGCACGUAGGUAGAUGAGAUCUUCUAGCUAUAAGGAGGAGAAGCCAGGCUGCAGGGAAGGAAGGACAUGUCAGUCAAGGCCAGGAGGUCUCUCCCAGAGCCAGAGUUAAAGAACGCAUGUGGUCCUGUUUGGGUUGCUUUGUCUUUUCAAAAUGUGGGCUGUAUUUCACCCCUUUUGAAAUGUUUAUCCUGAACUUCCUUAUUUUUAAAAUCUUUCCCUUCUAAUGAACAAAAGCAACUGAGGGAUUGCUUUUAACAUUCUGAAUUAUUUCCCCUUUCUCAUUUUUGUGCAAUAUUAACUGUGAGAAGAAUUUUAAGAUACAAAGAAAGGAGGCGUGCCUCCCCAUCUCUAGCAUUUCUAAGGGUUUUUUCCCUUCCUAAAUUCAUCUCAAUUAACUUUGAUUUCUUUCUUUAGAAAACCAUGUGCUGAAAUAAUGCUUUGCCAGAUGUGAGAAUGAAUUCCUCCCCCUACAAACACAUGCUUAAGCUUCAUUUUAGUUCUAAUAUUUUGGUCUGUUUUUUUUUUUUUUUAAUUUAAUCUUACACCAUAUUUAUCUGGCUUUUGGAUUUGUUUGCAAGAAUAUCUGACUUCAUCUUGGAGAGGUACUAAUAUUUUAAAGUUAUUGCUUGUUUGUUGUUGGUGCAGCCGUUUUCUUUUUAGUUUGUAAUUUUAAAUUUAGCCUGUUUCUUAUAUAUAUAACCUGUUUUUGCCAAUUUCUGAUAUAAAUCACACAUUUGUUCAUGUUUCUCAUCAUAGGGAAGCCAAAGCUAACAUUACAUAGUGUGUUAUUCCCCUCCGAGCCUUGGUCGAGACUCAGGCCCAGGAAGGAGGGAGGCAGCAGCCAUCAGCCCUGUUUCCUGUUCUGAGAGUGUAAAACACGCUACCCAAUGCUGCCAUGGGAAGGGAGUAUCUGUUUUGCAAAAAUUAUUUAAGAAGGCUUAAUUUUUGUCUUAACGAGCAUGAUUACACUAAGUCUAUGGUGCUGAUUUUACUUUGAAAUGCACAUCUAUGAGUUUAGACUCCUUGAUUUGGCCACUCAGUUGUGACCAGAAGAGAAAGCCGGUGAUAUUCAGGUUCCCUAACAUCUAGGAUGCCAUUUCUGUAUUGUCAACUUCUGUGCCACUGCCUUGUAUUAUUUUUGUUUGUGGAUGAGUUUGCUUUUGCUGUCUAUUCAAGAUGAUUUUGUUCCUUGUGCCUGAUUCUGGUUCUCUGUCUGGCAUAACUGACUCUUUGGUACAUUUUACAUUACUGUUUGAACUCCAGGCUUCAUCUUUCCCAGGUGUCACAGGGCUGUCAUCCUAUAGAUUCUAAUGGAGUUGAGGGUGGGGGCUUGCAUAUGCACAGAGGCCUGACCACCACUUUGAGAGACAGAGGUUCAAGUUUGUUUGAUUGUUCUGCCUUGCUGAUUCUCAGUGCAGUGUGUGUCUGGCAAAGAAGUUUGUGCACGUGGGAAGCUAGGGAAAAAACUUGGUCCUGGGGCAGGUAGGGGAUAGAGGGACAGAGUACAUGUGGGGUUGGGGAGUGACAGUUUCCUAAAGAUUCUGAUCCUUUUAGGUGGGGAGGGAGGUCUCCAUCUAAGAAAGGCUGCUUCUAGGGUGCAAUGACUGAUGGGAAACACCCUUAUUUACUUAAAGGUCAAGUCAAAGAAGAAGAAGAGGGUGCUAAUUUAAACACAUGUCCCAAAUGAAAAAAAAA